rnacentral:rRNA from 1 species
UACAUGGGGUGCAAACGUUGCUCGGAAUUAUUGGGCGUAAAGCGCGCGUAGGCGGUUACUCAAGUCGGAUGUGAAAGCCCUCGGCUUAACUGAGGAAGUGCAUCCGAAACUGAGUAGCUAGAGUACUAAAGAGGGUCGCGGAAUUCCCGGUGUAGAGGUGAAAUUCGUAGAUAUCGGGAGGAACACCGGUGGCGAAGGCGGGUCUCUGGGCCGAUAUUGACGCUGAGGAGCGAAAGCGUGGGGAGCGAACAGG